GAGGGUGCGAGCGUUAAUCGGAAUUACUGGGCGUAAAGCGCUCGUAGGUAGUGUGUCAAGUCAAGGGUGAAAUCCCCGUGCUCAACAUGGGAACUGCCUUUGAAACUGGUAUACUUGAGUGUGUGAGAGGAUAGUGGAAUUCCAGGUGUAGGAGUGAAAUCCGUAGAUAUCUGGGAGAACAUCAGUGGCGAAGGCGACUAUCUGGCACAUAACUGACACUGAGGAGCGAAAGCGUGGGUAGCAAA
rnacentral:rRNA from 1 species